GACCACAAGUGAAAAUCGAUUUUCACUGGCGGUUUUAUUACGCCGACCGCCAGUGAAAAUCGAUUUUCACUGGCGGUC
rnacentral:pre_miRNA from 7 species